CCUACGGGUGGCAGCAGUGAGGAAUAUUGGUCAAUGGCCGUAAGGCUGAACCAGCCAAGUAGCGUGAAGGAUGACUGCCCUAUGGGUUGUAAACUUCUUUUAUAAAGGAAUAAAACGAGGCACGUGUGCCCUUUUGCAUGUACUUUAUGAAUAAGGAUCGGCUAACUCCGUGCCAGCAGCCGCGGUAAUACGGAGGAUCCGAGCGUUAUCCGGAUUUAUUGGGUUUAAAGGGAGCGUAGAUGGGUUGUUAAGUCAGUUGUGAAAGUUUGCGGCUCAACCGUAAAAUUGCAAUUGAUACUGGCAGUCUUGAGUACAGUUGAGGUAGGCGGAAUUCGUGGUGUAGCGGUGAAAUGCUUAGAUAUCACGAAGAACCCCGAUUGCGAAGGCAGCUUACUAAACUGUGACUGACAUUGAUGCUCGAAAGUGUGGGUAUCAAACAGGAUUAGAUACCCCAGUAGUC
rnacentral:rRNA from 1 species